UACCAGCACCCCGAGUGGUCGGGACGAUUAUUGGGCCUAAAGCAUCCGUAGCCGGCCUUACAAGUCCUCCGUUAAAUCCAGCUGCUUAACAGAUGGGCUGCGGAGGAUACUAUAAGACUAGGAGGCAGGAGAGGCAAGCGGUACUCAGUGGGUAGGGGUAAAAUCCGUUGAUCCAUUGAAGACCACCAGUGGCGAAGGCGGCUUGCCAGAAUGCGCUCGACGGUGAGGGAUGAAAGCUGGGGAAGCAAACCGG
rnacentral:rRNA from 1 species